CUACGGGGCGCUGCAGUGAGGAAUAUUGCACAAUGUGGGGAACCCUGAUGCAGCAACGCCGCGUGGAGGAUGACGCAUUUCGGUGUGUAAACUCCUUUUAUAUGUCAAGAAAAUGACGGUAGCAUAUGAAUAAGCACCGGCUAACUCCGUGCCAGCAGCCGCGGUAAUACGGAGGGGUGCAAGCGUUACUCGGAAUCACUGGGCGUAAAGGACGCGUAGGCGGGUUGGAAAGUCAGGUGUGAAAUCCUACAGCUUAACUGUAGAACUGCACUUGAAACUUCUAAUCUAGAGUAUGGGAGGGGGAGAUGGAAUUAGUGGUGUAGGGGUAAAAUCCGUAGAUAUCACUAGGAAUACCUAAAGCGAAGGCGAUCUCCUGGAACAUUACUGACGCUAAGGCGUGAAAGCGUGGGGAGCAAACAGGAUUAGAUACCCUCGUAGUC
rnacentral:rRNA from 1 species